rnacentral:rRNA from 1 species
AUGAACAUCAUCCUGCCCCUCCUGCUCAGUGGGCUCGCACCGUUCCUGGCGGCUGCAGAUGUAUUCUGCGACAAUCUCAAAGUAGUCGCCACCACCCUUCCCAAUAACACAUCCUCCUCUCCAGUACACAUGGGCACGGCCACCGUCGGCAAAGCCCCCGACACGGUCUACGCUCUCGCGCUCUGCCGUGACCCUGUCCUCAACGACUCCGACUGCACCGACUGCAUCGUCGAGACGUUCGAAACUAUUCUGAACUCUACGCCACCGACACAGGAGCAGUGCUUCAAGGAGGCCUACUACGAUGGCGGCUGUACCAUCAUCUACUCCGACCACAUCCUGGGGCCCUCCGAUACCACGGGAGGAAAAGACGACGUGAUAUUUCAGAGUUGGAACGUCAAGAAUGUCACCGCCGGUGUCGACCUCAUUACUGGCCACAUUCGCGACCUUCUGGUAGGGACUGCGGAAAAGGCGGCUAGCAUGACGCCGAUGCGGUUCGCCACUGGCGUCACUUACACCGGCACGAACUUUCCGUUGGUGUACUCCUUAGCGCAGUGCACGCCGGACCUGUCCCCCGGCGACUGUUUGUCGUGCCUCCAUCUUCUCCUAGACCAGCUCAACUUCAGCAUCUCUCUACAUAUUGGUGGACGGAUGGGUGUCACCCGAUGUUAUUUCAGGUAUGAGGCGUAUAAGUUCUACUACGGAGAACCCACGCUGUUGCCAUCGUCGCCGCCGCCAGCUCCGACUCCGAAAAAGGCCCCCAAACACAGGGGUCAUAUAAGCAAGCUGUUGGCGAUUCCCAUAGUCUUGGCUCCUCUAGCAGCAGCAGCUUUUCUCUGCUUCAACUUUUUCUAUCGUCGACUCACUAGACAAAGAAGAGGUAUAGUGAUGAGAUUACAAGAAACAAGAUGUGUUCAGAAUUUGGAGGGAGACGAACAACUAGUUUGGCAAGGGAAGAAUUCAGAGUUAUUGGUGUUUCGAUUUGAGCAGCUACUGGAUGCCACAAAUAAUUUUUCAGAAGAGAACAAACUUGGACAAGGUGGCUUCGGUGCUGUCUACAAGGGUAAGCUUCCUGAGGGCUUGGGGAUAGCGGUUAAAAGGCUUGCUUCUCAUUCAGGCCAAGGAUUCAUAGAGUUCAAAAACGAGGUACAGUUCAUAGCCAAACUCCAACAUAGGAAUCUGGUUAAACUAUUGGGAUGUUGCUCCGAAGAACCUGAGAAAAUAUUGGUCUAUGAAUAUUUACCAAACAAAAGUUUGGACUUCUUCAUAUUCGAAGAAAAAAGAAGAGCUUUAUUGGACUGGUCCAAACUUUUAACAAUAAUUGAAGGAAUAGCUCAUGGACUUCUCUACCUACAUAAGCACUCCCGGUUGCGUGUCAUACAUCGAGAUCUAAAACCAAGCAACAUCCUCUUGGACAACGAAAUGAAUCCAAAAAUUUCAGAUUUUGGGCUAGCAAAAAUAUUCAGUUCAACAAACCCCGAUGGAAACACUACAAGGAGAGUGGUUGGUACAUAUGGCUAUAUGGCUCCCGAGUAUGCUUCGAAGGGUGUCUUCUCUAUUAAAUCCGACAUCUUCAGCUUUGGUGUUGUUAUUCUCGAGAUCCUCAGCGGAAAACGAAAUUCUCGUCGCCAACAAUGUGGAGAUUACAUUAAUCUUCUUGGAUACGCAUGGAAAUUAUGGGACGAGGGAAGGUGGAUUGAUCUUGUUGAUGCAUCAUUGGUUCCCAAGAGUCAAUCACAGAAGAUGAUGAGGUGCAUUAACAUAGCAUUACUGUGUACGCAAGAAAAUGCAUCUGAUCGACCAACCAUGUCAGAUAUUGUUGCAAUGUUAAGUAGUGAGAGUAUGAUCAUUGCUAAGCCUAAGCAACCUGCAUAUUUCAAUGUAAGGGUGGGAGCUGAAGAGCCAUCCGCUGCUCUUGAGUCAUGCAGUAUUAAUAGUAUGACGAUAUCUAUCACAAUGCCAAGAUAG